UCAGAGUUAAAGAUUCUGAUGCACAUUAUAUGUCUGUAGAUGUCUUUUGGUAUAGAUUUUACGCAUUCAACAGGGCAAAAAAUUAAGUGUCCUGGUCAACCACCUCCAAGAUUGAAUCAUCAACUGUUUAAAUUAUUAUUAGGUUUUUCAAAUAGCUAACUGGUUGGUUCGCUUGGGCCAUAUUCUAGCAAAUUCUUUUGAUGAUUUAUUUCAAUUUAAUUACUG
rnacentral:lncRNA from 1 species